rnacentral:rRNA from 1 species
ACUUUUAUUAAUAAGCAAAAACGUAUUUUGGGGACAGUAAACCUUAUAAGUUGGGCGUCACGAGGAAGGGGAAUCACACAGAAUAGGCGAAGGAAAGGUCUCGCCGCCGCUUCCUGUUCUUCCACUUCCCGCCGCACCGCGAGAGGCUGAAUAAGGAGGUGUGGUGGAUGCGCAGCAGCAGGCAGACGCGCCAGCGGCCGCCGAUGGCGCGGGACGCGCUCGCGAGCUUGACGACCACCUCCCUCUCGUAAGCACCUCCUCCGUACCACUCAUACGGCACGUGGUCGCGGCAGCAGCAGGCGUCGUGCCAGCGCCUACUUCGAGACCUACCACGCGCGGCGGUACUGGUACAACGAGACCUGGACGCAGUACGUCGAGUGGCGGCAGCCACUCUGCACCCCGGGGGUCCAAGAGUUCCCUACCUGGAGGGCGGAGUGCCGGGGGCUCCUCCGACGGCGGCACGCGGGCCGGCAGUAGCUCUCCCGGCGCAACGGUAGCACGUUUUGUAUCUAAAGUAGUUGGACCCUUACCCUACUAUGUCUAACCACCAACCGCAGCUAAAACGAGCGAAGUAACACAUUGUAGCUCAGAGGUGACGGUCAGGAGAUGCUAGAUUGGUUAGUCCGGAGGUAGCUGCAUUCGAAGAAUUAGAGGCUAUAGGACGAGGCACAGACUAAACCUAACUUAAGCACUGGCACAGGAUGACAGGAAGAGGUUGUGUUUAGUUACCUAACGGACUGGGCCUAACCUGAAGGGAGGAUAUUCUUCCUUCCCAGGAGCUGGCCUUAGAGGUAGUCCAACGCAUGAACCUGGCCUUUUAGGUAGUUUAGAGCCUUAUGAACCUGCUCUUUUCGUAGUACAGCGGAAACUGAAGCGGCCUCCAUCUUCUUGUAGGCAGCUCGGCAGAUUAUAGCGCCGAUGUCGUUUCCAUACAUUACGGAGCGGGGGGAGUUUUUGUCGGGACGACGAAACCAACACUUGAACACCACGGAUACAAGGAGUUCAUCAACAAAAACUACAAUGACAUCAACCAUCUGGUGACAUACUAGCCACUUAAGUAGACUAAAAGGAAACAAACGUGACGACAUAUUACUUACGUUGACUAAACGGGGGGAGCCUAGAUGGGGACAAAGUAAAAUAAAAAAGAUUAACGAGUAUUAAAGUCGAACCGACUAUACGUGAUCUCAGAAAUUUGGUUGAUGAAACAUACAAAAAUACAUAAAACGUAAUACAAAGUCCAUUAGUCGCUAUGUUCGGGUACAAAGUCAGAUAAAAAAAGAUUUUUAAACAACAAUGAUCUUUUCCUAACUUGGUCCUUUAGAGUACAACGACUGAUGUAUGUGGACUUGUACCACCGAACUUGAACCAAUGUCAUUAAAAACCUGUACUACGACCUCAUUAAGAACAUCAAAGUAUAUAAGACGAGAAAGAAGUCAAUAGUUAAUCGAAUUAAUGUAUGUCUACUUAUCUAUACGAUCGACGUGGAUCGUUUCAUCCUAAUCCUCACUCAUCUACCCACUACAGCCCCGCCACCACGACCAAGCUCCUCCACGGUCACGUUGCAAACGUACCAGUCCACGUGAACCGAAGUCCGGGACCCUCCGCGAUAGUUUGGGUGCCGGCGCGACGACACAACUGGUCCUGCCGGACGAGCACGUCACGCGGCACCGGCCGAUGCUUUCGGUCCGUCGCCUCUCCACGUCCGGCUCCCACUUCGGCCGUCCCACGAAAUCUACCCUACGCGAACCUACCCCGUCUCUCCAUUUCCUCCUGCACCAUGUAUAGUCCUCGUCAACACCACGGAUGUAUACACAUGGGGCAACAAAAGAGGUUAGGGUAUUUUAUACAUCGUUAAGUAUAACCCAGAAGAAAUAAGUACCAUUCUAUCGGCUUAUAUGGAGACCAGUUAAAAUAUAACAAGUGUACAUAAAUGAAAUAAGUUGACUACUAGCCCAGAAGAAAAUAAAAACAAGGAGUUAGCAUCUGAGCAUCAGAGCCAACUCCGGUACGUACCUCUUCCACUCGAACGUAAAGACUUGUACGUAAUAUUUGACUUAGUAGUUUUUUAUACCACUAUCGGUCGUAAUGCCACGAGAUUUUCAUACGUUACUACUAGGGUUUUCUUGUUAUCGAUACGUUGUGUCACCACCUAUAACUGUAAAACCCAAAAACAACACUCAAGACAACUUAUAAAGAGAUUAAUUAGACGGUAAUUUUAUAGAUUAAUUCGAAAGGUAUAGUCACAACAGCCUCCUACUAAACUGAUAACCUUUAAACUAACUUCUAGAUAAUAAACCCUACAACCAGGAAGAUAUUUACACAAAAUGAAGGAUGUUAACGAUUACGUAAAAAAACCGGGUAGUUUAAAACCACCAAAGAAAUUGGGCAACGUUGCGUGCCCGAGAACAAGUGGCAGUGUUAUGCGAAAGAAGGAUACUUAAAUGCGAAAGUCAAACUUAAAUUAUGUAUAUGCGCUCGACCAUGAUUACAACGGUAGCAAAAAGAUAGGCUACAGUUGCCACUUUUUUGCAAAGCAAGCACCCAACCCGACUGCGUGCCCCCUCGUCUAGAAAGAUAUUUUUCUUUGGGUGAUCGUGCCGGAGAGGAGGAGCUACGGAUUUGUGCAUGCCGUGACGGCGGCGGUAGCGGUGGCGUGCGCGCCGGCCAGUAGAAGGCGCCAGCAGAUAGCGGGAUAGAGGAACGGGAGACGUGGACGGGGGCAGAAGAAGCCGCGGUGAGACUCGGAGGAGCCAGAAGUUGGAGGACGUUAGAAGUUCGAGCGCCGUGGGUUAGGCUCGUUGGUCGGCAGUUAAGCUCGCUGGGGGCAAUCCUUAGGUACCUUAAACUCCACCUAAAGGACCUUCUCCCUCCUCUUUCCUACUAUCACCCCAAGUACCCCUUCUCCUCAGGUGAUAGGCGCUGAGAGAGGGAGUCCCCUUGUAGCGUCUAAACAGAUCCUAGAGAGUUCGUGCUCUAGGGGACCUGCAGAGUAGACAGGAACGUCCAAGUUCCACUAGUCCAUGCCGAGUACCCGACGAUGUUGAUAAUCACCCUGUUUUCCCAACACGUACGUGUACGAAUAACUAACUUCCGUAUUAAUACCCUCUACCACGUACCAGGUCUACUUAUCUACCUUGGGCAGCUCUCUUUUCUUUUUCUUCUUAUUCUUCUUUUAACAAGAAGCAUUUGUUCAUGAGGGAGGUAGGGUGAAUACAACCCUGCCUUAUGUAUAAUGUAGUAUACAUUGACCUCUUACCGCCGUACAGUGCUAGUCCGUUCUUGAGACUACGGCCACACGUGAACGACUUAUAUCUACUAACACUACCGGAAUAAGGAACCUACACAUCCCUCGAAGUUGGACUAAUCACGACUAAACCCCUCAUUUCGAGAAGCUCGUUCACUGUUUAGUACAGAAAGCUCGUAGAGUUUCUACCGCUGGAUCUCAGCAAACUGACCGUCGAAUUUUCGUUAAUUUCACUUGUCUCCUUAGUUUGAAAUUUCGGUGAGAACGGUAAACACCUGACAAGGACGAACAACCACUGACGAAAACGCUCAUACAAGUGAGAGUAGAUCGCUACUUUAUAAAACAAAGAUAACGCGUCGACGACUUUCCCGUUUGGGGCCUAGGAUCUAUAGAUACCCAAAACCCACGGGAGACACCAAUGGACUUACAAGGAUAAAGACAAAAGAAGAAGGGAAAAAUCAAAAGAAGUACGACAUCUACUUGAAAACCAAAGACAAUUAUCUUAAGUCUCUCCUCCAAGAGAAAAUCUUUUAGAUUACUCCCCCUCUGACUUACUGGCUCACAUCUACUGUGACUGGUUCAAAUAAUCAUACACUAGGAUGUACAGCGAGGUAAUUAAUCUAUUAAGGACAUACGAAUUGACAAAGGAGCGAGUCAGGUUAUUGCUACUGUCUAGGCUCCCAUAGGAAACAUCGGCUUCCUUUUCUCCAUACGUUCCCACAUAAGGUAUAUAACCAGAUAGAAACACAGUAAUAUUGUAUAUAUAAGGGAGUCACGAAUUUUACAAGAGUACCGGUCAUACAAAUGCUGCUUCUACCUAUGAGAGUGACAUAAUGUAUUAACUAUAAGUCGUUCACGAUAGGCCACGAAUAGUGUGUGCAUGUACUCAUCAGUUCACAUGGAAAUGCAUCAUCGUUCAUAAAAACCAUUAGUGAUCCUUUGUAUGGGCACGCAACGAUGCCCCACGUAAAAAGAACUG